rnacentral:rRNA from 1 species
UACAGAGGGUGCAAGCGUUAAUCGGAAUUACUGGGCGUAAAGCGCAUGUAGGUGGGUCUACAAGUUUGAUGUGAAAGCCCUGGGCUUAACCUGGGAAUGGCGUUGAAGACUGUAUAUCUAGAGUUUGGCAGAGGGUCGUGGAAUUUCCGGUGUAGCGGUGAAAUGCGUAGAGAUCGGAAAGAACACCAGUGGCGAAGGCGGCGGCCUGGGCCAAAACUGACACUGAGGUGCGAAAGCGUGGGGAGCAAACAGG